rnacentral:rRNA from 1 species
AGAGUUUGAUCAUGGCUCAGGACGAACGCUGGCGGCACGCUUAACACAUGCAAGUCGAACGAGAGAAGAGGAGCUUGCUUUUCUGAUCUAGUGGCGGACGGGUGAGUAACACGUGAGCAAUCUGCCUUUCAGAGGGGGAUACCGAUUGGAAACGAUCGUUAAUACCGCAUAACAUAAUUGAACCGCAUGAUUUGAUUAUCAAAGAUUUAUCGCUGAAAGAUGAGCUCGCGUCUGAUUAGCUAGUUGGUAAGGUAACGGCUUACCAAGGCGACGAUCAGUAGCCAGACUGAGAGGUUGAUCGGCCACAUUGGGACUGAGACACGGCCCAGACUCCUACGGGAGGCAGCAGUGGGGAAUAUUGCACAAUGGAGGAAACUCUGAUGCAGCGAUGCCGCGUGAGGGAAGAAGGUUUUAGGAUUGUAAACCUCUGUCUUCAGGGACGAAAAAAGACGGUACCUGAGGAGGAAGCUCCGGCUAACUACGUGCCAGCAGCCGCGGUAAUACGUAGGGAGCGAGCGUUGUCCGGGAUUACUGGGUGUAAAGGGAGCGUAGGCGGGAUCGCAAGUCAGAUGUGAAAACUAUGGGCUUAACCCAUAAACUGCAUUUGAAACUGUGGUUCUUGAGUGAAGUAGAGGUAAGCGGAAUUCCUAGUGUAGCGGUGAAAUGCGUAGAUAUUAGGAGGAACAUCAGUGGCGAAGGCGGCUUACUGGGCUUUAACUGACGCAGAGGCUCGAAAGCGUGGGGAGCAAACAGGAUUAGAUACCCUGGUAGUCCACGCCGUAAACGAUGAUUACUAGGUGUGGGGGGACUGACCCCUUCCGUGCCGCAGCAAACGCAAUAAGUAAUCCACCUGGGGAGUACGACCGCAAGGUUGAAACUCAAAGGAAUUGACGGGGGCCCGCACAAGCAGUGGAGUAUGUGGAUUAAUUCGAAGCAACGCGAAGAACCUUACCAGGUCUUGACAUCGUAUGCAUAGCUCAGAGAUGAGUGAAAUCUCUUCGGAGACAUAUAGACAGGUGGUGCAUGGUUGUCGUCAGCUCGUGUCGUGAGAUGUUGGGUUAAGUCCCGCAACGAGCGCAACCCUUACUGUUAGUUGCUACGCAAGAGCACUCUAGCAGGACUGCCGUUGACAAAACGGAGGAAGGUGGGGAUGACGUCAAAUCAUCAUGCCCCUUAUGACCUGGGCCUCACACGUACUACAAUGGCUGUCAACAGAGGGAAGCAAAGCCGCGAGGUGGAGCGAACCCCUAAAAGCAGUCUUAGUUCGGAUUGUAGGCUGCAACCCGCCUACAUGAAGUCGGAAUUGCUAGUAAUCGCAGAUCAGCAUGCUGCGGUGAAUACGUUCCCGGGCCUUGUACACACCGCCCGUCACGCCAUGGGAGUCGGUAACACCCGAAGCCUGUAGUCUAACCGCAAGGAGGACGCAGUCGAAGGUGGGAUUGAUGACUGGGGUGAAGUCGUAACAAGGUA